rnacentral:rRNA from 1 species
CACGUAGGGGUGCGAGCGUUGUCCGGAAUUAUUGGGGCGUAAAGAGCUCGUAGGCGGUGUGUCGCGUCGGGCCGUGAAAAACCUGGCACUUAACUGUGGGCGUGCCGGUCGAGUACGGGGCAUCACUGGAGUUCGGGCAGGGGAGACUGGAAUUCCUGGUGUAGCGGUGAAAUGCGCAGAUAUCAGGAGGAACACCGGUGGGCGAAGGCGGGGUCUCUGGG